UACAGAGGUCUCAAGCGUUGUUCGGAUUCAUUGGGCGUAAAGGGUGCGUAGGUGGCGCCGUAAGUCAGGUGUGAAAUUUCGGAGCUUAACUCCGAAACUGCAUUCGAUACUGGCGUGCUUGAGGACUGGAGAGGAGACUGGAAUUCAUGGUGUAGCAGUGAAAUGCGUAGAGAUCAUGAGGAAGACCAGUGGCGAAGGCGGGUCUCUGGACAGUUCCUGACACUGAGACACGAAGGCCAGGGGAGCAAACGGGG
rnacentral:rRNA from 1 species